GACGAACGCUGGCGGCGUGCUUAACACAUGCAAGUCGAACGGAAAGGCCCUGCUUGCCGGGUGCUCGAGUGGCGAACGGGUGAGUAACACGUGGGUGAUCUGCCCCUUACUUUGGGAUAAGCCUGGGAAACUGGGUCUAAUACUGGAUAGGACCAUGCUGUAGGUGGUGUGGUGGAAAGAUUAGUUUCGGUAAGGGAUGAGCUCGCGGCCUAUCAGCUUGUUGGUGGGGUAAUGGCCUACCAAGGCGUCGACGGGUAGCCGGCCUGAGAGGGUGGACGGCCACAUUGGGACUGAGAUACGGCCCAGACUCCUACGGGGGGCAGCAGUGGGGAAUAUUGCACAAUGGGCGCAAGCCUGAUGCAGCGACGCCGCGUGGGGGAUGACGGCCUUCGGGUUGUAAACUCCUUUCAGCCAUGACGAAGCCCUUGUGGUGACGGUAGUGGUAGAAGAAGCACCGGCUAACUACGUG
rnacentral:rRNA from 1 species